GAAAAAGAAGAGUGGCGAACGGGUGAGUAACACGUGGGUAACCUGCCCAUCRGARGGGGAUAACRCUUGGAAACAGGUGCUAAUACCGUAUAACAAUCARAACCGCAUGGUUUUGAUUUGAAAGGCGCUUUCGGGUGUCGCUGAUGGAUGGACCCGCGGUGCAUUAGCUAGUUGGUGAGGUAACGGSUCACCAAGGCCACGAUGCAUAGCCGACCUGAGAGGGUGAUCGGCCACAUUGGGACUGAGACACGGCCCAAACUCCUACGGGAGGCAGCAGUAGGGAAUCUUCGGCAAUGGACGAAAGUCUGACCGAGCAACGCCSCGUGAGUGAAGAAGGUUUUCGGAUCGUAAAACUCUGUUGUUAGAGAAGAACAAGGAUGAGAGUAACUGUUCAUCCCUUGACGGUWUCUAACCAGA
rnacentral:rRNA from 1 species